GAGGGAAUUAAUGGACAUGAUCAUGUUUGGGGGGACCCGUGAAGGAGAAUCAACAUGUAACUAGAGCAAGAUGCCAUGUGAAAAAUGGCUAUAUGGUCAUGUGUGCUUGGAAACCCUGCUUACCACAGUCUCCUAGAGAUUUCCCCACUGUAGUGUGGAAACUCCGUCCAUCAGAAAUGGAAUGCGAGCCACAGGUGUAGUUUAAAAUUUUCUAGCAGCCACGUUAAAAAAGUGAAAAAGGAACAGACGAAAUUGAUCUUAUUUACCCUUUUCUUUUUCCUUUUCAGCCGCACCCAGUGGCUUGCCAGAUCUUAGUUCCCCGACCAGGGAUUGAACACAGGCCCCCGGCCUUGGCAGCACCGCGUCCUCACUGCCGGACUGCCAGGGUAGUCCCUGAAAUAGAUUUUAAUGAUAUAUUUUAUGGAACCCAAUUUACCCAAACUAUAACCAAUAUUUUUAAAUUAUCUCCCUAAAUCUUUGAUAGCUGGCGUGUAUUUUACAGCUAGUGCACCUCUCAGUUUGGAUUAGUCAUGUCUCAAGUGCUCCGGGCCUCAUGAAGCCAGAAGCUACGUUAUGGGAUGGCUCAGGCUCCAAGAAUCUAUGCUUGGAGGGAAUUCCAAUAUAACCUGAAAAGGCCCCAUGGAGUGACAGGGGAAAUAAUGGGAAAGAAUAGAAGGUGCAUUUACGUUAACUUAAAAGCAAAGAUCUUGGGAGACAGUCUGUCCUGAAAAGGCCUAAAUAACCUAAGUUAGGGUUUAAAAUUUCUCAUUGUAUGUUAAUGACCAAUAUCAGCAUUUCCCCUAAAACCCCUGGAAGAGACUAACAGAGACACUUGUGGUCCAGGCAGAGAUGGGCAGAAGCACCUAUAGUCCAGUCCAGGAGAUGAUAUGGUCUUGUGUUUAUUGACUGUUUGAAUUCUUAUUUAAUCUUGCGUUUCUCUGCUCCUGGGUGUCUACAGGUUGAGGCUGUGUGGUGUUGGACAAUUUUUAAAAAAUCUGCAAACCAUGUACGUUAGCAGCAACCACUUCUCAAACUCUUUGGCAAGAGACAGCUUUUGCUCUGUGUCUCAUCCCACUUUUCUGGUCCCAACCUUUCCACUGUGUCUGUGCGCUGGCGUUCUCUUCACUCCCCAGCCUGACUCCCCCACCUUCGUCUCAUCUUCCAGCCAGCUUUCUUCCCCCAGAUGGAAGAAGCCACAAAUUGAAAUAUUUGGUCCCCUCCUGACCUGCUGUGAAAUACCUCCUCUCACAUACCUCUGUUAAAAACGUUUUAAGAUCCCACAUAUUAAUCAAUGUGAUUCUUUAUCAGCAUCACAUAAUUGUGCCAUGAACCGCAGCCAUAAGUCAAAAGACCUUCUCUAAACUUUCAGUGAUUGCUCUGGACAGUUUUGUAGGAGGGAAGACGGGAGACAUUUAAUCAGACUGGAGUCUUUCAGGAGAGCAUCCAACCUACCUCAGGACUCAUCCAAAGGCCGUUUGCUUUUCUGUCCCAAGCAUUUUGCUAAAUCCAAGUGGAGGUUACUUCCCUUCUUCAGUUGGAGAGGAAAGAUGUGCAGGAAAGAUGACUUAAAAUGACCAAGAUGGAAAGAAAUUUAGGGCAAAGUGCCCAUUUUCCUGUCUGGGUCUAUCUACUCCACCAGCCUGGGACGCCUGCCACUUCCUGCUGCUUCACCCUUUCCCCCAGCUAAGUGGAAUUGCUGGGUCACAUGGGAACUCUAUGGUUAACUUUCUAAGAAUCUGCCAAACUGUUCUCCAAAGUGGCUGCACCAUUUCACAUUCCUACCAACAACACCCGAGGAUGCCAUCUCUCCACAUCCACAUCCUGGUUAUCUACUGCCUUUUUGGUCAUGGCUAUCUGUGUGGAUGUGAAGUUCUAGCUCAUUGUGGUUUUCAUUUGCAUUUCCCUAAUAGCUAAUGAUGUUGAACAUCUUCUCAGGUGUUUAUUGACCAUUUGUACAUUUUCUGAAAAAUGUCUUUUCAAAUCCUUGGCUCAUUUUCCAAACAGUUGGGUUAUUUGUCUUUUCAUUGUUCAGCUG